rnacentral:rRNA from 1 species
CCUACGGGUGGCUGCAGUGGGGAGUAUUGGACAAUGGGCGCAAGCCUGAUCCAGCAAUGCCGCGUGUGUGAAGAAGGCCUGCGGGUUGUAAAGCACUUUAAGCAGGAAAGAAGGGGUGAAAGUUAAUACCUUUCAUCAUUGACGUUACCUGCAGAAUAAGCACCGGCUAACUCCGUGCCAGCAGCCGCGGUAAUACGGAGGGUGCGAGCGUUAAUCGGAAUUAGGCGGCUUGAACCGCGCGUCGUGAAUUCCCUGGGCUUAACCUGGGAACUGCGGUGGAUACUGUCGGGCUAGAGUGUGGUAGAGGGGAGUGGAAUUUCCGGUGUAGCAGUGAAAUGCGUAGAGAUCGGUAGGAACACCAGUGGCGAAGGCGGCUCCCUGGACUAACACUGACGCUGAGGUGCGAAAGCGUGGGGAGCAAACAGGAUUAGAUACCCCUGUAGUC